CUCAGGAUGAACGCUAGCUACAGGCUUAACACAUGCAAGUCGAGGGGCAGCAUGAACAUAGCUUGCUAUGUUUGAUGGCGGCCGGCGCACGGGUGCGUAACACGUAUCCAAUCUACCCAUGGCUCGGGGAUAGCCUUUCGAAAGAAAGAUUAAUACCCGAUGGUCUCGGUUUAAGGCAUCUUAGACUGAGUAAAGAUUUAUCGGUAACGGAUGAGGAUGCGUACGAUUAGCUUGUUGGCGGGGUAACGGCCCACCAAGGCGACGAUCGUUAGGGGUUCUGAGAGGAAGGUCCCCCACACUGGAACUGAGACACGGUCCAGACUCCUACGGGAGGCAGCAGUGAGGAAUAUUGGUCAAUGGCCGAGAGGCUGAACCAGCCAUGCCGCGUGAAGGUCACGGCCCUAUGGGUCUUAAACUUCUUUUGUAAGGGAGCCAAUAAGUCUCACGUGUGGGAUGAUGAGAGUACCUUACGAAUAAGCAUCGGCUAACUCCGUG
rnacentral:rRNA from 1 species